GACAUUAUUGUGUAGAAAUGUAUGUAUGAGAUGUUGAGACGACGUGAUAUGGCGUCAAGGUGGUGAGAUGAUGACUUUGCCCCUCACCGGGGUUAUCGCUGGUUUAGGCUGAUAAAGUAGACGUUGUUCAGGGUUAUCGAUGAGAUUCGAUUGCUACAAGUGUCGAAGGUCCUUAGUGUUAUCUCUGAGGUGUGCCUAUCUUCCCAGUGUUAUCUCUGUGCUUUGUACUGAGUGCCUCAGUGUGAGUGCCGAGGUUGAAGUUGAAUGCAUGCAUUUGAAACAA
rnacentral:lncRNA from 1 species